rnacentral:rRNA from 1 species
UACAUGUGGGGCAAGCGUUUGUUCGGAAUUACUGGGCGGUAAAGCGCACGUAGGCGGCUUUGUAAGUUAGAGGUGAAAGCCCGGGGCUCAACUCCGGAACUGCCUUUAAGACUGCAUCGCUAGAAUUGUGGAGAGGUAAGUGGAAUUCCGAGUGUAGAGGUGAAAUUCGUAGAUAUUCGGAAGAACACCAGUGGCGAAGGCGACUCACUGGACACAUAUUGACGCUGAGGUGCGAAAGCGGUGGGGAGCAAACAGG